AGAGUUUGAUCCUGGCUCAGGACGAACGCUGGCGGCGUGCUUAACACAUGCAAGUCGAGCGGGGAUCAAUUACGGAAAGCUUCGGCCGGAAGUGAUUGAUUCUAGCGGCGGACGGGUGAGUAACGCGUGAGCAAUCUGUCCUACACAGGGGGAUAACACCUGGAAACAGGUGCUAAUACCGCAUAAGACCACGAGGUCGCAUGGCCACGGGGUAAAAGAUUUAUCGGUGUAGGGUGAGCUCGCGUCUGAUUAGCUAGUUGGUGAGGUAACGGCCCACCAAGGCGACGAUCAGUAGCCGACCUGAGAGGGUGAUCGGCCACAUUGGAACUGAGACACGGUCCAGACUCCUACGGGAGGCAGCAGUGGGGAAUAUUGGGUAAUGGGCGCAAGCCUGACCCAGCAACGCCGCGUGAGGGAAGAAGGCUUUCGGGUUGUAAACCUCUGUCCUAAGUGACGAAACAAAUGACGGUAGCUUAGGAGGAAGCCCCGGCUAACUACGUGCCAGCAGCCGCGGUAAUACGUAGGGGGCAAGCGUUGUCCAGAAUGACUGGGCGUAAAGGGCGUGUAGGCGGCUUUUUAAGUGUGAAGUGAAAGUCCUGCUUUCAAGGUGGGAAUUGCUUUGCAAACUGGAGAGCUUGAGUGCGGAAGAGGUAAGUGGAAUUCCCAGUGUAGCGGUGAAAUGCGUAGAGAUUGGGAGGAACACCAGUGGCGAAGGCGACUUACUGGGCCGCAACUGACGCUGAGGCGCGAAAGCGUGGGGAGCGAACAGGAUUAGAUACCCUGGUAGUCCACGCUGUAAACGAUGAAUGCUAGGUGUAGCGGGUAUCGACCCCUGCUGUGCCGGAGUAAACACAAUAAGCAUUCCGCCUGGGGAGUACGG
rnacentral:rRNA from 1 species